rnacentral:rRNA from 1 species
GACGAACGCUGGCGGCGCGCCUAACACAUGCAAGUCGAACGGCACCCACCUCCGGGUGGAAGCGAGUGGCGAACGGCUGAGUAACACGUGGAGAACCUGCCCCCUCCCCCGGGAUAGCCGCCCGAAAGGACGGGUAAUACCGGAUACCCCGGGGUGCCGCAUGGCACCCCGGCUAAAGCCCCGACGGGAGGGGAUGGCUCCGCGGCCCAUCAGGUAGACGGCGGGGUGACGGCCCACCGUGCCGACAACGGGUAGCCGGGUUGAGAGACCGACCGGCCAGAUUGGGACUGAGACACGGCCCAGACUCCUACGGGAGGCAGCAGUGGGGAAUCUUGCGCAAUGGGGGGAACCCUGACGCAGCGACGCCGCGUGCGGGACGGAGGCCUUCGGGUCGUAAACCGCUUUCAGCAGGGAAGAGAAGAGACUGUACCUGCAGAAGAAGCCCCGGCUAACUACGUGCCAGCAGCCGCGGUAA